ACAGCGUGGUGGGGACAUUUACGAAUAAGGUCCCUUAACUUUUCCCAUGUCUCAUGAAAAAGUUUACCAUCCAAUUGAAAAAAACUAAUGAUGGCUUUUUUAAUUUU